rnacentral:misc_RNA from 1 species
CUCAAUUCGAUGAAGAGCUCAUACAUCUGGCCAAUAUCAGCAGCAUUUCCAUGAGAAUAAAGCAGAGUAGAGGUGGCCAUGGGGUAUCUAACAUAAACAGCAACGAUCUCUGUACCCCGGCGGGUAGGGAGGCGCAAGACGUCGACGUUCUCGCGAUGAGGGAAGUGGUCCAGAAGCAAAAGGCCAGUGGCAUCAUCAGUAAUUAGCUUGUAAGAAGGAGGGUUCGGCGGAAAAAAAGCGAAUUUAGCUGCCAUGGAAGAAGUCACCCCUCCCAUUCUGUUAAUACUCAAUUACUCUCUUUUAUCUCUCCCUCUCUGUCUGUAUAUAUAUGCAGGCUUGUUUCUUCUCUCUAAAGAAAGAGUCAAUUAGUGGUAAUUAGUAAAAGAAGAAGGAUAAGAAGAUGAUGAACAUUCUUCUCUUUCUCUUUCUCUUUUCUUUUCCUUUUGGCAGAGAGCAUGAAGAAAGAAGAAAUAGAAGAAGGUCAGAACUGAUCAGUAUCAAAUAUUUGAAGAGAGAGAAAGAGAGGAUUAAU